GCGCAUGAUACACGUCAAAAUCCGAGCCUCCAAAACCGAUCAACUAGGUAGGGGUUCCACGCUAAGUCUAGCCUCCUCCCCACACACUGAACCAUGCCUUGUCUCGGACACACGCAAAUUCCUGAAGGUACACCCUCCAGGACCAGGCCCCCUCCUCAUUCACGCAUCAGGCUGCCCCAUGACCCGUUGCCAAUUUGUCUCAAUAUUGCGUAAGGCCAUCCAUGCUUGUGGAGGCAACCCGGCACAAUUUUCUGGGCAUUCCUUUUGUAUCGGUGCAGCAACCACAGCAGCUGCAAGCGGCCUCCCGGCAGAACACAUAAAAACAAUGGGGCGGUGGCGUUCAGCUGCCUUCAAAGGCUACAUUAGAGACAACCAACAGGCACUGACAGAUACCAUAUAAUCCUUUCUUUCAGGCUCGACCCCCAAACAUGUGUGGAUCUUCGGCCACAGCAUAGUGCAUUGGACGGCCGCCCAUGCCGCCACCGGUCCAUUCGGAGAACAUCUGGGCCUGCAGCCAAAGGUCUCCAUUUCCUGGUUCGGACAACGUGGAAUGCGAUGGGAUUCCCUGCUCCCUCGGUUGCGUCACGAGCUUGCGUACCGCCACCCGCCAAAUGCGGUUGUGCUCCACCUCGGCGAAAAUGACUUGGUCAUUCGUAAAAGCAUAAUUCUUAUCAAAACUGCGAUUGCAGACCUGGAAAGCGUACAUGCCACUCACCCCAAUAUCACGAUUUUCUGGUCAGAACUUCUGCCACGCUUACAUUGGCGUGGCAACAGCAAACCCACUAGAGGUAAUUACACCAUUGAAAAAAUCAAUAGGGCAGUGCGCUCUGCAACCACACGCAUGGGAGGUCGGGUCGUGAAACACCCCAACAUUAAAGUCUACAUGAAGGAGCUAUUUAGGCCCGAUGGCGUGCACCUAUUGGACCUUGGAAACGAGCAUUGGCUGAGCAACAUCAGGCAUGGCCUGAUUGACUGGCGGAUGGUGAAGGGUCUUUUCAGAUGUAGGUAGUCUUGGCGGCGAGAUGGCAAUCUUUGCGGUCUCGGGUGGCGGUAUCAGGCCUUGGGCGGAAUCCUUUUGUCCAUCUUCCUCUUGCAGUGGCGAUACCAGGGUUCCCCGUUAAAGGGGUUUCUGAAGGCAGGCUUUGACCGUACGCCGAAAGGUCGUCAUUGCUCUCCCCUGCGGCGGCGGCGUAACGGGGGCGGCUAUCUCUGCUUGAACAUAUGUUCUCCAGAGCCGGCCCAUCCCCCACACAAACACUGGAUAACCCUGAUGCUCCCUAGGUCCCCGGCUGGGGACUGGGGAGGGAGAACGCC
rnacentral:lncRNA from 1 species